GACGAACGCUGGCGGCGUGCUUAACACAUGCAAGUCGAACGAAGAGCGAUGGAAGCUUGCUUCUAUCAAUCUUAGUGGCGAACGGGUGAGUAACGCGUAAUCAACCUGCCCUUCAGAGGGGGACAACAGUUGGAAACGACUGCUAAUACCGCAUACGAUCUAAUCUCGGCAUCGAGGAUAGAUGAAAGGUGGCCUCUACAUGUAAGCUAUCGCUGAAGGAGGGGAUUGCGUCUGAUUAGCUAGUUGGAGGGGUAACGGCCCACCAAGGCGAUGAUCAGUAGCCGGUCUGAGAGGAUGAACGGCCACAUUGGGACUGAGACACGGCCCAGACUCCUACGGGAGGCAGCAGUGGGGAAUCUUCCGCAAUAGACGAAAGUCUGACGGAGCAACGCCGCGUGAGUGAUGACGGCCUUCGGGUUGUAAAGCUCUGUUAAUCGGGACGAAAGGCCUUCUUGCGAAUAGUGAGAAGGAUUGACGGCACCGGAAGAGAAAGCCACGGCUAACUACGUG
rnacentral:rRNA from 1 species